AGCAGCCGCGGUAAUUCCAGCUCCAAUAGCGUAUAUUAAAGUUGUUGCAGUUAAAAAGCUCGUAGUUGAAUUUCGGGAUCAGUACGCUGGUCGUGCCUUGGUAUGCACUGGUGUCACUGAUUCCUCCCUUCUGAAGAACCGUUAUGCCAUUUAUUUGGUGUGAUGGGGAAUCAGGACUGUUACUUUGAAAAAAUUAGAGUGUUUAAAGCAGGCUCGCGCUUGAAUACAUUAGCAUGGAAUAAUGAAAUAGGACGUUUGAUCUUAUUUUGUUGGUUUCUAGGAUCGACGUAAUGAUUAAUAGGGAUAGUUGGGGGCAUUAGUAUUCAAUUGUCAGAGGUGAAAUUCUUGGAUUUAUUGAAGACUAACUACUGCGAAAGCAUUUGCCAAGGAUGUUUUCAUUAAUCAAGAACGAAAGUUAGGGGAUCGAAGACGAUCAGAUACCGUCGUAGUCUUAACCAUAAACUAUGCCGACUAGGGAUCGGAUGAUGUUAUUUUUAAUGACUCAUUC
rnacentral:rRNA from 1 species